CCUACGGGAGGCAGCAGUGGGGAAUAUUGCGCAAUGGGCGAAAGCCUGACGCAGCGACGCCGCGUGAGGGAUGAAGGUCUUCGGAUCGUAAACCUCUGUCAGCAGGGAAGAACGGUCACUGUGCUAAUCAGCAGUGAAUUGACGGUACCUGCAAAGGAAGCACCGGCUAACUCCGUGCCAGCAGCCGCGGUAAUACGGAGGGUGCGAGCGUUAAUCGGAAUUACUGGGCGUAAAGCGCUCGUAGGCGGUAUGUCAAGUCAAGGGUGAAAUCCGCGCGCUCAACGUGGGAACUGCCUUUGAAACUGGGAAAGGUGAGGGUGAGAAGGGAAGGUGAAAU
rnacentral:rRNA from 1 species